AACGCAUCUUGCGCUCCUUGGUAUUCCGAGGAGCAUGCCUGUUUGAGUGUCAUUUAAACUCUCAAACCACAUCAUUCAUUUGACGUGGCUUUGGACAUGGGGGUUGCUGGCUUUCUUCUCAGAGAGGCCUGCUCCCCUGAAAAGCAUUAGUGGUAUCUGGAGUGGAAAACCGCUAGGUGUGAUAAUACUGUCUAUGCCUUUGGUUAUGCCACAAUGUGCUGCUUCCAACCACACAUUUUUUUUGACAAACUUGACCUCAAAUCAGGUAGGACUACCCGCUGAACUUAA
rnacentral:misc_RNA from 1 species